CCUCUUAAGAAGAAUCAACGAUCUUCUCAUCUUUGCUUAUAAGCACUGAACUUACACUUUCCAAUCUCAGUAUAGUUUAGAAACCUUGAAUUUGACCCAAAUAAUCAUCACAUCAAAAUCCCCAAUUUUAGUUCUGCCUUUCUUCAUUUGAGCUUAAAUGGAUGAUGGGGAGCUAGAUGUCUUGAACCAAGAAGUAUUUUCGGCUACCAACAUGGGUGAGAUUCCGAGCAAUUGCUCAAUGGACAGUUUCUUCGAUGAACUACUCAAGGAUACUCAUGCCUGUACUCACACACACACUUGCAACCCUCCUGGUCCUGAUUAUUCCCAUACACAUACCUGCUUUCAUGUACACACCAAAAUUGUGUCUGCACCUUCGGAUGAUAAGACUGGGACUGAUGAUACUGCUGAGUCCACUGAGAAAAAGUCAAAGAAACGCCCAUUAGGCAAUAGGGAGGCAGUCCGCAAGUAUAGGGAGAAGAAGAAGGCAAGGGCCGCAUCUUUGGAGGAUGAAGUUGUGAAAUUGAGGGCUUUGAAUCAGCAUUUGCUGAAGAGGCUUCAGGGACAAGCGGCAUUGGAGGCUGAGGUUGCGAGGCUCAAAUGUUUGCUUGUGGAUAUACGGGGAAGGAUUGAAGGGGAGAUUGGAUCUUUUCCAUAUCAGAAAUCAGCUAAUGACUUGAACUUGGCCAAUCCAAAUUUACCUGGUGCUUAUGUAAUGAAUCCAUGUAAUGUGCAGUGUAAUGGUCAGGCUUAUUGUUUACAUCCAGGGGCAGAUGGCAAGAGUGGGGAAGGUAUGGCCUUAAAUGGCCAAGGGCUUAAUGGUUGUGAGUUUGAUAAUCUUCAGUGUCUGGCAAAUCAAAACUCAGGAAUGAAGGAGCUUGUUGGCUGUGGACUUGGGAACCUAGUGACAAGUGCUGAUGGCAAUUCUUCUAGCUCAAG
rnacentral:misc_RNA from 1 species